CAGUCGCCGCGGUAAUACGGAGGGUGCAAGCGUUAAUUGGAAUUACUGGGCGUAAAGCGCACGCAGGCGGUCUGACAAGUCAGAUGUGAAAUCCCCGGGCUUAACCUGGGAACUGCAUUUGAAACUGUCAGGCUGGAGUCUUGUAGAGGGGGGUGGAAUUCCAGGUGUAGCGGUGAAAUGCGUAGAGAUCUGGAGGAAUACCGGUGGCGAAGGCGGCCCCCUGGACAAAGACUGACGCUCAGGUGCGAAAGCGUGGGGAGCAAACAGGAUUAGAUACCCGCGUAGUCCCUGUCUCUUAUAC
rnacentral:rRNA from 1 species